rnacentral:rRNA from 1 species
GACGAACGCUGGCGGCGUGCUUAAUACAUGCAAGUCGAACGGAAAGGUCCUGCUUUUGUGGGGUGCUCGAGUGGCGAACGGGUGAGUAACACGUGAGUAACCUGCCCUUGACUUUGGGAUAACUUCAGGAAACUGGGGCUAAUACCGGAUAGGAGCUCCUGCUGCAUGGUGGGGGUUGGAAAGUUUCGGCGGUUGUGGAUGGACUCGAGGCUUAUCAGCUUGUUGGUGGGGUAGUGGCUUACCAAGUCUUUGACGGGUAGCCGGCAUGAGAGGGUGACCGGCCACAAUGGGCCUGAGGUACGGCGCAGACUCCAACGGGCGGCAACAGUGGGAAAUAUUACGCAAUGAGCGGGAGCCUGAUGCAACGACGCCGCGAGCGGGAUGAUGGCCUUCGGGUUAUAAACCGCUUUCGCCUGUGCCGAAGCGUGAGUGACGGUAAUGAGUCAAGAAGCACCGGCUAACUACGUG